GGGAGGUGCGUCCGCAGCUGGCUCCGCUAGCCAGCGGAAGAUGGCGGAAGGCGGCCGCCCCGACCCCGGCGAGAAGGAAAGGAGGUCUUCCGGACCGCGGCCUCCGAGCGCGCGGGAUUUGCAGUUGGCCUUGGCAGAAUUGUAUGAAGAUGAAGUGAAGUGCAAAUCUUCCAAGUCUAAUAGACCUAAAGCUGCAGUCUUCAAGAGCCCACGGACACCACCUCAACGGUUUUACUCAAGUGAACAUGAAUACAGUGGAUUAAAUAUAGUUCGACCUUCAACUGGGAAAAUUGUGAAUGAACUUUUCAGAGAGGCAAGGGAACAUGGGGCUGUCCCUCUGAAUGAAGCCACAAGAGCUUCAGGUGAUGAUAAAUCUAAGUCAUUUACAGGUGGAGGAUACAGAUUGGGUAAUUCCUUUUGUAAGCGGUCUGAAUAUAUCUAUGGAGAAAAUCAGCUGCAAGAUGUUCAGAUUUUGCUUAAACUGUGGAGCAAUGGUUUCAGUUUAGAUGAUGGAGAAUUGAGACCUUACAAUGAACCAACAAAUGCUCAAUUUCUGGAAUCUGUUAAGAGAGGGGUGACUCUCAUUGCAUGUAUGCCUGAAAUUCAGCAACUUAUGUUAGAAAUCUUUUAAUGUGGCAUUACUGCUGGCAGAAGAUUUCAAAAGAGAGAUUCCCCUGGAGCUUCAACGCCUUGUUCAUGGUGGCCAAGUGAAUUUGGAUAUGGAGGAUCAUCAAGAUCAAGAAUACAUAAAACCUAGAUUGAGGUUCAAGGCUUUUAGUGGAGAAGGGCAAAAACUUGGAAGCCUUACACCUGAAAUAGUCAGUACACCUUCCUCUCCAGAAGAGGAGGAUAAAUCAAUACUUAAUGCAGUUGUUCUUAUUGAUGAUUCAGUGCCAACAACAAAAAUUCAGAUCAGGUUGGCAGAUGGGAGUCGUCUGAUACAAAGAUUCAACAGUACACACAGGAUCCUGGAUGUCCGGAACUUUAUUGUACAGUCUCGUCCUGAAUUUGCAGCUCUUGACUUUAUUCUUGUGACUUCAUUUCCGAAUAAAGAGCUAACAGAUGAAAACCUGACACUGCUAGAAGCAGAUAUUCUUAACACUGUGUUACUCCAGCAACUAAAAUAAUAUUGUUCCUGUCCAUGCAGUAGCAUGUGGGAAUAGAUGAUGUGCCAUAUUAAUAAGAACAAUACUUCCAGCACUAAAAACAACCAAAUUAUUUUUAUUAUUUUUACAGAUAGAUUUUGGUUUUAUUGUUAUUCUGUCUUCCAACCUGAAUAUAGACAAAUUUGGAUUAGGAAUAGACCUUGAGGCCGGGCGCGGUGGCUCAAGUCUGUAAUCCCAGCACUUUGGGAGGCCGAGACGGGCGGAUCACGAGGUCAGGAGAUCGAGACCAUCCUGGCUAACAUGGUGAAACCCCG